rnacentral:rRNA from 1 species
UACGGAGGAUCCAAGCGUUAUCCGGAUUUAUUGGGCUUAAAGGGUGCGUAGGCGGCCUAUUAAGUCAGGGGUGAAAGACGGUAGCUUAACUAUCGCAGUGCCUUUGAUACUGAUGGGCUUGAAUGUACUUGAGGUAGGCGGAAUGUGACAAGUAGCGGUGAAAUGCAUAGAUAUGUCACAGAACACCAAUUGCGAAGGCAGCUUACUAAAGUAUGAUUGACGCUGAGGCACGAAAGCAUGGGGAUCAAACAGG